rnacentral:rRNA from 1 species
GAUGAACGCUGGCGGCGUGCCUAAUACAUGCAAGUCGAGCGAAGCGGGGACGGGUGAGUAACACGUGGAUAACCUCCUAUAAGACUGGGAUAACUUGGGGAAACCGUAGCUAAACCGGACACUCAUAAAUGGAUCCGCGAUGAAGUAGCUAGUUGGUAAGGUAACGGCUUACCAAGGCAACGAUGUAUAGCCGGCCUCAGAGGGUGAUCGGACACACGGGAACGGAGAUACGGUCCAGACUCCGACGGGAGGCAGCGGUAGGGAAUCUUCCGCAAUGGGCGAAAGCGUGACGGAGCAACGCGGCGUGAGUGAUGAGGGUCUUCGGAUCGUAAAGCACGGUUAUUUGGGAAGCGGUACCUAAUCAGUAAGCCACGGCUAACUACGUGCCAGCCGCCGCGGUAAUAC